UUAUGUUCAAUUUAUUUAUGUUUUCCAUUUAAUACUUACAAAACAUAGACACAAUACAAAUACAGACACAGUUCACAUGUUUAAAGGCAUACACCCCCUUGUAAUAUGUACAGCUACAUAAUGCAUACAACAUAUUGGUGCUGAGAUCUCUCUGCAGCCUGUGUCACCAAAAGAUGUCCCAAAUAUGAGGACCAAGGAGGGUAGAUCAUCUCAAGUGUAUGUAACCGAUGUGAAAUGGCUAGCUAGCGGUGGUGCGCGCUAAUAGCGUUUCAAUCGGUGACGUCACUCGCUCUGAGGACUUGAAGGAGUUGUUCCCCUUGACCUGCAACGGCCGUGGCUUUUGUAACGCGAUGGGUAACGAUGCUUCGUGGGUGACUGUUGUGCAGAGUUACCCUGGUUCAAGCCCGGGUCGGGCGAAGGGACGGAAGCUAUACUGUUACAUGUACACACUGGAUUCCAAGCGACACCAGUCUUUAGCGGUGUGAGAAAUGAGUUAUCCUCACAGUUAGGGGGCAGUAGCGAGCAGGCAUAUAUUGAUAAAAGUCACCUUGUCCUUGAGAGAGAUUUACACGGUUAUCAAAAUGUCACUCCAGGGUAAGCCUACACGAAUCACAGCCCUUAUUUUAAGUGUUUCUAAAAUGAAUGGUGGAAAAACGAUUGGAACCUUUUCCCUUUUUGCCUGCUAGGUUUUACGAGGUUUUUGAAUCCUCCACUGUGGGGCUCUAUUGCUGGAAUAAUUGUCUUGAUCCAAGCCCAUGCAUGCUUGCUAUUAUUAUGUAUUCUAGUUUAUUUGUUUACAGCAGAUAGUUUAUUUUGAUUGUACAAAUGCGUCAAUAUGUGUGUGUGGGGGAGGGGGGGACAUUCUAUAAAUAAUGGGUCCAAUGUGUGACAUUGGCAUCAACAUUUCCAAAUGGUUUGAAAAAAACGUAAAUCGGAUUUUCAUGCAGUUCCACAUGUAUACUUAGAAGAAUAAAAGUGAAUAUAUGCAAAUGACCCAUUACUCAACAUGUAGGUCUACCCACCUAUAAGCCUAGGACUAUACAUCCUUUAAGCAGGGCUCAUACAGACAUUCGCAAGUCAAAUACAAGGACUUUCAGGGACUUUUUCAGGCACUUAAUUGUAGGACCUCAAUGUUAUAAUAUUGUAUCCUUUACAUCAUUUUAAGCAUAGGGCCUAAUAUAGAACCCCCCACCUAAACUAAAAGCAUGCAAAAAGUUAGCACUUUAAGAGUAAUGCAUUUUUUAAGAUUUGAUAUUCAAAUUAUUAUUACAUAACAAAAUAUGAGAAUAAUGUGGACAUUGCCUGACUAAAUAUAUUGGAUGCACGCAUGGAGGUUCAGACACAUAAUGCCAUGAAUAGUGGUAACAUUAAUCUCACCAUUUGAAUCUCACCAUUGCUGUAUUUAUAACGAGAAAGUAAACUAAAUUCAGAUGUUUUUAAAUGUAAUGGAAGGAUUUGUAUGGAAAGACAUUGAAGCCAACAUUAGAUGUUGUCGGCUAAGUAACCGCACUUGGUUUUAUCGCAACAGAGUAGCGCAACACCAUUCAAUUAAAGCAGUAGACUACGUGAAUUUCUCAGCUCCACAUUCAAGUUCAAGUAGGCUACUUCAAGCCCCUUGUAUUGUUUACAUUUGCAGAUCUAACAUGGAAAACAAAAUCUAUUCAUCGUGUUCUUUCAUUACAAGAUGACAUUGGGAAUAAGCCCACUAGGGUUAUGUAAAUUUGUUGUCAUGACAUCCAGAAUAAUGCAUAGGAAUAACGUUGGGUGUGCGCAAUAAUAUAUUCUACGCAAUUUGUGCACACUAGACUCGGUGUCCAACCCGAGGCACAAAAACAUAUGAAAACAUGAACUCGUUAUCGUUAUGCUUUCUCUGUUAAAUUUAACGAGACCCUACUGUAAAUCUAGCAGACAACAACAGAUGAUCAACAUCCAUUCGCUAGGGAUAUUAGAUCCAAGGUGGAUCCAGACUCUUUACAGGAGUAAUGAAUGAGACAUCAAAACAUUCUGGACAUUCCUGGCAAACACAUUUUUUUCCAGCACUGCAAGUAAUCCGGGUAGCCAUUUGAUUAACCGUUCAGCAGUCUUAUGGCUUGAGGGUAGAAACUGUUCAGGAGCCUUUGGUCCCAGACUUGGCUCUCCUGUACCACUUACCAUUCGGUAGCAAAGUGAACAGUCUAUGACUUGGGUGGGUGGAGUCUUUAACCAUUUUUAGAGCCUUACUCUGACACUGCCUGGUAUAGAGGUCCUGGAUGGCAGGGAGCUCGGCCCAGUGAUGUACUGGGCCAUACGCACUACCCUCUGUAGUGCCUUGCGGUUGGGUGCCGAGUAGUUUCCAUACCAAGCAGUGAUGCAGCCAUUCAAGAGGCUUUCAAUUGGGCAGCUUUGGCACUUUUUGAGGAUCUGAGGGUCCAUGCCAAAUAUUUUCAGCCUCCUGAGGGGGAAGAGGCAUUGUCGUGCCCUCUUCACAUCUGUGUUGGUGUGUUUGGUCCGUGAUAGGUAAAUCAUGGUCCAAAUCACUUAGUAAGUAAAUCAUGUGCAUUUUCAUCAGUCGGGGUAGUUUACCUUUGAACAGUGCUUGUGAAUGCACAUACCAACCAAUGCGCUCUGAGUGAUAGGAAUGGGCUUUACAGGCAAUUAAAGCGUACUUCUAGAUUGUUCCGAUCACAAGUAAAUCCAUUUACGAGUAUCAAGUGUGAUCAAAUGGAUCCGAUCACGAAUAGGAGUAUGACCAGAUCGCCACAGCCCGAGUGUAAUAACACACAUAUUCUUACCAAACAUUCCUCACUAACCAGAAUGAAUACAUACAACAAAGAUUCAAAAAUAAAUUCCUUCUUGAUGAAAUCUGAGCUGAAAAAAACAUUUCUGUCUAUUCCGGUAAAAUAUCUAGAGCCUAUGUGCACAUUGUAAUCUUAAUUGGCACAUUUGAAACGGUCCUUUUGUGAGGAGCAGGCGGGAACCAGUUCUGUAUGAUGGCAGGUGGUGUGGACGAUAAACCAGGUGUGUCCUCCAUUGUCAUUUAAAAUCUCCAGUUAGGGAAUAUUUCGUCUUCCCAGUAGUUUACAAAAGUGAUGGACAGAGAGUUGUGGAUACAUUAUGUCUCCACUGCUCAACAAGAAUAGCCAAUGCAGCUGCCAACACCUUAAACAUGUUGACAGAUUUACACCAAAAUCACCAGUGUUCAUACCACCGGAGCAAGACUGAAACACAAAGAAACAACAACACAACUGUGUCUCCCUUCUGCAUUCAAGCAGCGCUUCGCAGUUGAUUCAGACUGGGCAAUGGGUGUUUAUAGCCGCGGAUAUUUGCGCAUUCUCACAGGCUUGUGAAGAGGAGGUUUCAGCACGUGCUCAAGCUACACUAUGAACUUCCCUCUCACCCGUUUCAGCAAACGGGUAGUUAGUACCUGCGCUAUAUAAGCAAUCCACAGAUCAAGUUAUCAGGGAAUGGCCGAUGUACCCUGUGUUGUGCUUACUACAGAUAUAUGGACCUCCAGGGCUACAGAGAGGAUGAAAGCAGCUCCUCUGACCACAGUGACUUGGAUAGCUCUGUCAGCCCUCUGCCGGCUGUCUGCCUACGCCUACUUGCAGCCCCCAAUCCACAGAAUGUACCCACAGUCAGGAAACAAGCUCUUCUGUUCCUGAAACCAGAUAUGCUGUGGCACCCUCUGUCUUCGGCAAGGAGGAGUACAACAUUGCCAAGGCCCGUCUCACUCAACUAAGACUGAGAUGGUUAGCAGAGUGUCGUUGUCCUCCAGUAGGGGUUUCUCUCUGAGGAAGACUGACGACGACCCCCGGCCUUCCAUGGCGCCCCAGAACCACCACAGCACUCAGCAGCUUUACAGAGAGAGCAGCAGGUCAUAGAGCCCCACAGUAGCCGACGCGAUGACCUCCGACCUUCCACACCACCCCAGACCCACCACAGCACUCAGCAGGUCAGAUAGAUCGACUGAGAGCCGACCUGGGUUCAAAUACUAUUUCAAAUCUUUCAAAUACGUUGAGCAUUUGCUUUAGUCAGCCUGGAGUGCCAGGUGGGCGGGAUUUGUACUUUUGGUGCCAUGAGCCAUUUUGUAUUUUGCAUCACUGGAUAUGUAGUGUAUGUGAACGACUGGGGAGUUACUGGUUUCGAACAUAGAAAUAUAAUUACUAGACUGGUUCCCCCAUCACAGGUCAUUGACUUGAAUGGGGGUUUCUGUUCUAGUAGCUCUGUUUCUAUGGUUUCUAAAAUACAUUCCUCUGCCUCUCAACUUGAGGUCCCACACCAGAUAGUGGCUGCGCCAAUGCCUAUGUCAAUGCCUGCAAUCAGAAUGCGGGUCAGGGUU